UUUAUAGUAAGUCGCGUUUUUAAGGGAGUCCAGAGAGCUCCGUGGAUUUGGAGUAGUUAUUCCCUGAGGAAGAUGGUGGUCGAUCUCAUCAUGUCCAUCCCUGCAUCAAAGCCUAUACAGACUCCUUGUGUUCACUUGCUUUUUCAUUAUGCAACGGUGGAAUCGGUAUGGAAUUUCUUAGGGAGUUUAAAACUCCCUGGGUCAGAAGUGUGUCCCUGGUUGAGGAUUUAUUAGUUGGUGAGCAGUCCAGUCCAUGGCAAGUGCAAGAUUCUGUGGAGUUUGGUGUCGUUUGCUGGCAAGAAAGGAACAAUAGGAUAUUUAUAAAGGACAUCCACAUUUCCACAUAAGUUCUGAUUGAGAAAACUAGAUCCUGCAGGAAUUUCUAACAGUAUAGGUUUGAGCCAAUGCUUUAAUACAACUAGCCCAUUUUUCAAUGGCAUAGGGUCGAGCCAAUAUUUUAAUACGACCUAACCCUUUUCUCAAUGGUGUAGGGUCAACUCAUUGUUUUAAACCAACCUAACUCAUGUUUUAAUGGCAUAGGGUCGAGCCAUGUUUGAAUACGAUUGAACCCAUGUUUGAAUACGAUCGAACCCCAUUUUUUUUUUUUUUUUUUUUCGGCAUAUGGUUGAGUCAAUGUUUGAAUAUGGUCCAAACCAUGUUUUUGAUGGCACAGGUUCAACCUGAUCUUUUAAAUACGAUCCAAACCCAUGUUUUUUAUGACCUGAUGUUUGAACCGAUUUCUUAAUAUGAUCCAAAUGCAUGUUUUUUAUGGUAUAGGAUAGAGCUGAUAUUUGUAUACGAUCCAAACCCAUUUUUAAUAGCAUAGGGUUGAGUCGGCAUUUUACUACGACCUAACCAAAUUACCUGCAUAUGGUUGAUCUGAUGUUUUAACAUGACUAAAAUCUAUAACAACAUGCGCUUAUGUGAUCUAGUCACCUGCCUUUGUCAAAUCUUUUUCUACAUGAGUAGCAUUUGUAGACCCACAUGCUUUUAUAUCCCAGCAGUCACAUUUUUACUUUAGUCUACUUGAAUGAAGAUAUCAGCUCACCAGAGUUAUGCACUAAGUUUGAUGAUGUUCCAAUGGAAGAUUAAGCCAGAUCAAGUUAAUGUAGCCAUUCAUCCAUAUGCAUCAGGAGUGCUCCAGGAAGCAUGCUGGAAUGAAGAUCUAGAUGUGUGAAGGGCAUCCAUGAAAUUUGAAAGGCAAUCCAAUUUCAAAAUCAUGAGAAAAAGAAUCGAUGGAGAUUACACAUCAUGAGGUGGCCCAGUGGGCCCCAGUUGUUAGAUUGAUCCAAAGAAGCUCCAAAGUCAUUAAUGUGCUAGAGCUACAUUGUUGGAAAGCUAAUUCGAUAAGCUCUCCAAUUAGACCAACUUCAUGAAAAUUUGAUGUUGUUUAAUCCUUGUAACUGUGGAUACAAUGUGAGGGAUAGUAGGGACCCAGAUGUUUGCAGCCUGCCAUGACCUGGUUUUGAUGUGGUCAAUGUAGCUGCAAUGUGGUUUCUUCUUCCUCAGGGAGUUGAGGAGAAUGUGACUACGUUUACGUUCUCCACCAUUUUUUUAAUGCCACCACCACCACCAUUACACUUCAAGAUCUACAGCAGGAGGACAAAAAUCAAAGCAAAAGGGGGAACUUAAUGUUCAAGAAAGUGUGCAAAGAGAGGGAGUUCAAGAGAAGCCCCAUAUUGCUAUUUGAGAUCACCAAACACCGAGGAAGAUAGCUUGGAGAGGACUAACGUUCUGAUUUCCCCUUGUUGCAUUUUCUCUCUCUGUUUCCUCUUAUUUUAUUUAUUUAUUUAAUUUCGGCCAUUAAAAUAGUUAAAUGUAAGGUUAGUGCAGGAUUGAGCAGUAGGGUUGAAACAGAUUCUUGUAAGAACCCACUUCGAAUAAUCAAACCAGGGUGUUUGUUUCACCAUAGUGUGAUUCCUCCCUUGGAACUGUAACGGGUUCCCUAAAUUUCUUGGAGCCCACAAGACCUAAAUGCUUAUAUAUGAAACAUUUAAAUUUCUUGGAGCCCACUUUUUAAGUAAAGGAACUUAAAUGCCUAUCUUAAGGCAUGCGGCGCACUUGUAAAGUUAAAGUGGCAUGUAAAGGCACCUAAUGUGUAUCCCUAUGGGAUUUAGACCACUUUUCAAGUUAAAACUACAAGUAAAGGCAUCUCAAUCUAUCCCUAGGGCAGUUAGCACACUUUUCAUGUUGAAACUGUUAUGAAGGCACCUAAAUGCCAAUCCUAAAUGCAUUUAGCUGACUCUAAAGCUAAAACUCUAGGUAAAGGCACCUAAAUGCCUCAAGGGAUUUUGCCCACUUUUCUAACUCAAACUCUAUGUAUAGGUACCUAAAUGGCUAUCCUUAAGCCUUUUAGCCCACUUUUCAUAUGAAAACUCUAGUAAAGGCACUUCAAUGCCUAUCCUCAAGGCAUUUAUUCCACAUUUCAAUUUAUAGCUGUUGUAUAGGUAGGAACAUAACUGCCAAUUCUAAAGGCAUUUAGCCAAUUUUUCAAUUAAAACUCCAAGUAAAGGCACCUAAUGUUUAAUCCAUGAGGCAUUUAGCCCACUUUUCAUGUCACUGGAUGCCAAUCUUAUCACCGGAUUGCGUCGCCAUCAUGAAUGAUGGAUCCAUUCUCCACCCUAAGAUUGUCCAUCUCCUAUGAAAUCAGAAAUAUCGUUCUUCCCUUGAGAUCUGCUAUGAAGAACCUCCUCAAGUCAAGGAAAUUCCACUUUCAAACGCGGGCACUCCCUAUUGUGAUCAACCCGUUGUUGGAACCACGCAAAAUGCUCCAAUCCUGCACAUCUUGCUGUUGAAUUUUGGACACUGCCAGAUGAUCAUGGGCCAACAAUUACUACAUUAACAUUCUCCUCAUUUUCUACAGUCUUUGAAGUGACAUGGAUAUGCAUUAUAUCAUCUCCUAUAGAAUCUUGGCCUGUUUGGUCAUGUAAUCUGGAAGCAAAGCCUUGAAAGUCUGUCGAGAUUAUGUUUGUGGUUUGUUGAUUUGAUGAUCCAAUCAUCGUUGCAGGGAAUGGAGGUCUUGAUUGAGUUGAAGUAGGUGCAGCCAUGAGGGCCAAUAGUGUUUAUUGUGGUUGUUGCUGAAGACAUUCCAAUUGAGAACAGGUUGACACUUACCUUAAGUUUGUUACCUCAUUGACAUGGAUCAGAUGGUUCCCAUUUUUCCUCUUCAAUAAAAAUUCGGUGGCACGGCAGCUUCACAUUGAGAAGUCAGAUGAAGGCAGAACAAAAACACUGGGUUGAGAAGGGGGCCAGUUGGUCUGGUGACGAAGAAGAUGUGCAGGAAAUGGGCUUGUUACAUCUGGGAGAUUUCAGAAAUUUUCAUGUCUUUCAUGCUCUGUAAAAAUAAAAUAAUAUCCUCUAAUGGUUCACUAAAUGGCAUCUUUUGUGUCUUCCUGACAGAAUUCUAAUUGAUUCACAUCUUGUUUUUACAUUCUUCAAGUCCUUCUGGCAGUAAGUUAAUUCUGUUCUCUUGUUCUUAUCUGUAACUGACUUCCACUUUCAGUGGCUAUGUUUGCAUCUUUUCCAAUAUUUUCUUGCAGAUUUUGUAUUGUGUUCUGUAUACUGUGAUUUUGAUUUUGCAGUCUUUAGGAUUUGGGUGGUGAGUAUUUCUCAGUUGUUUCAUUUUAAUCUUCCGUUUGAUGAUAUUCAUUUUUCGAUUAAGAAGAAACGAUGUUUUUUACUUUUCCGGUGUGGAUGAGAGAUGGUCACAUCCGUUCGUAUGCAGAUGAUCUUGCUCCGUAAAAAAGAAAAUCUUAUAUGUAACCAAGCUGCUUGUUUCUAUUUCUUGUUUGUGCAAUAUCAAGGUACAUUUUAGUCUUCCUGCUCCCAAGGCGGAGAGGAUGAAGAACAUCCAAACCACAAAUUAAACAGAAUGGCCUUCCUGUUCUUAUCUUGUGAUUUGAGGCAGAAAAAGUGGGUAAACAGAAGCCCACAGAAUUCAGGUCCCAUUUUCUGCACCUCCCCAAACACCAAGCGUACUAACUCUCCCAAAGAAGACUCGCUAUCAUUUGGUGGCACACCCAAAUGCUCCCUAAACAGUGUAGCUGCUUAAUUCUAGAGGAAAUCAGGAAAUCCAUGAUUUCAUUUUGGUCAUUAACAUAGUAGCAAAGCUAAAAAUACACUUAAAACCGUUUCCAAAAAUCAGAAGCAAUAAGCAGUUAGAAAAAAAUAGAUAGGUGACGCAGGACAACUAACCACUUGCUCUAAAAGCUUGAACUGAUAGAGCAUGGUGAAUCAAUCCCUUUAUCUCAUAGCCUAGGCCUCACAUCCCAUGGGUUAGGACCUCGUCUGAAUCACCCUCAUAGGCCCCACAUCACAUGGGUUCUGCCUCACAUGAGCCACGUGCCUCACACGGAUGGGGCCCGCCUCACACAGGCCACCCAUCCCGAGUGUGCUCCUGCAUCCCACAGGCCAACCCACUCCAGCCAGGUGUGAAAAUGCCCCUGCAUUAAUAUAGGAUUCUUCUUUGAGUCACUCUUUUUUUCCUAGGCAUCAUCCUGUUGAUUUCUUGUGCAGUUUUCCUUUUGUAUCCUUUCUGCAAUUACUAAAGAUGCCCACUUGAGAGAAUAUCCUUGAACAAAAGAAAUGUGCAUAGCAUAUGAAUCUCUUAGAGUAGAACUUCAAGAUAUUUCACUAUCACAGAUGCCUUUGUAGAUUUUUUAUUUUUUUUUGAAACUCCUUGUGUAAGGAUUUUCUGUUAUCUGCACAACUCUAUUUAGUGGGCUUUCAUUUUUUGGUCGUAGUUGCUGAUUUUCUGGUUUUUCAAAGCUAGUACCUUUUCAUUGAUAAGUACAUAAUAAAUCAAUGGUGGGUUCCAUAUUGGACGUUCCCGAUGCUACUAAUAUUAGUGUUUGUGAUAUAUCAUCAUGGCCUACAUGCGACUACCCAGUAUGGGUACCAGGAGUCUCCUUUUGGGACUUUGUAGAACCCAUUUCGCAACGCAUUGUCUAAAUGAAUGCAGGAAACAUGUCCUACUUACAGAUAGGGUUUUAAAUGGGCCAGGUUCGUUUCGAUCAGGUUUGGCCUGGGCCCAAGCCAUUUAUUAGAUACACCAAGAAUUAAAACCGAAGGCCGACCUGCAAGCAAUGAUGAACUGUGCCCUGAGCCCAACUUGUUUACUGAACAUGUCUCAAAUUCAAGCCACCAUAAACAAUUAAUUAGGCCAAGGCCCAAUCCACUUGCUCGGGCUUGCGGACUGGCCCGUCCCAUUGCCAGCCAUACUUUCAGGAAAGCUGCACAAAGAUUCCAAAAAUUAGGAAACUGCUUCCUAUUAUCUUGUGCCUUUUUUUUUUUUAUAUAGGAUUUUCGCAUAGGAUCUGAAGUUUGUAGCACAUUUUUUUAAAGAAGAUACUCUAAAAUUUGAUUAAACUAAAGGGGAUGGAACUAAUUCAAACUUUAUUAAGAAGAUGUGCUUAGGAAAUACUAGACCAGUUUGAUUAUUCUAUAAUGUUUGUUCAAGAUGUGAAUAAGUCAUGGCUGUUUGUGACAAUAGAUCUCAUAAUAAUAUGAUGCUGCAAAUUCUCGCUUAACUGUUAUUAUGCAUUCGUUGUAUGAUUCUUUUAGUGGUAUCCAUCUAAGUAUUUUUUUUUCCCUUGUAAUUUAGGCCUUAGAAGUAAAUUUACUAUCUGUAACUGUUUCCUCAUUAUGACCGCUUUGGAAUUCAUAUGAGACUUGUAUCCAUUUCUUGCUUCUGGUAAUUAUGAUCUAAACACUCAAGACGUUAAAGAGAACAGAAGAGAAAUUUUUAUACUUGGAUUGAAUGAUUGACUAAUGCUAGAUAUCUAGCACUUCAGGUGAUGGAAUUUGUUAUUUGAGAUCAGGCUACAGUGUCCCAGGUAAGUGGACCAUGGAUUAGCCACUUGGGUCCGGAACUUCAUCAUAGCCAUCCUUGGCCCUUGAUCAUACGUCGAGAAGCCAAGGUGCCACCUUUGAGAUCCAACAUAAACUAAGAAGUGAUGAGGAAAGGAAAAUGUCACAUCUGAGGAAAACUAUGGAAAUGAAAAAUGUUUCCCUUGCUUUAGGUAUGAGAGAAAAGGAAAUUGCUCGUUGCAGAGGAAAUUUGAAGAAAGGAAAUCAAUUUCCUCAAUCCUCUCUUUACAUGAAUGAGGGAAACUGUUGGAAAUUGCAUUUCCUUGGUAAUUUUUAUUUUAUUUUAUUUUAUUUUUUCAAAUUCCUCCAAUCCAAACAGCCCCAAAUUUUCUUCUAGGUGGCAAGGGUUGCAUUUGGAUGCACUAUCAAAAAUUGAAUUGCAAUCAUGAUUUGAAUAAAGUGGAAAUGACCAAAUCAUAACUUCCCUGGCAAUGUACAUGUCAACUGCCUGAAUUCCAAAUUGCAACCAUGUUAGUUUCAACUUUCAAGUCAUACCUAAAGAAACAUAACUGCUACCUUACAGAUGCCAGGAAACAUCUGUAUAUUUGAUCAUUUCCUUUUCAAUUAAACAUUAUGAUCGCAAUUCAAUUCACUUGUGCAUCCAAACGGCAGCCUAAGUAUAUGUUUGGGUUCUAUUUUCAAAACCACGUCAAACACGGGAAGAAAAUGAAAUGAUAUAUAUCCAUUGGUUGAAAAUGAGAAAUCAAGAAGAACAGUAUCAUAUCUCAGACAACCACAGACAUUAAUCGACAUUGAGGGAGAUAAAGAGUAGAUAGUUAUCUGCAUCAGUCAAUGUCAGAACUGUUGAAUUCUACACUAAAACAACUCUCCCAGUAAAUCAUAAGCCAAUGAAGUCUAUGUGAGGUAGAAGACUCAAACGGUUUAGACUCUUUGGCUCACAACUUCCACCAGAACAGUCUCUAUAUAUACACAACAGUGUCAUGAUUCUAAGGUUCCAUGACUAUUAUGGAAAGCUGUUGGAAGUUACGUUAGACAUUGGAACAUGGAAUUUAUAGAAGAUGGAACAUUCCAAUCCCCCACAAAGGCCACUUUAUGGCUAAUCAUAUGGAAUAGCAGGUGCAACCUGUAAUGAUUCGACGAUGAUGACCGCCCAAAUAGAAUUUUCUCGCAUAAAUCAGCACCCAAGUGUAUGAACUUUGGAAUGACAUGUGACAACCAAUACCGACAAAGAUAACCCAUAUCAUAUUUGCAUCUUAUCAAUGUUUUUUCUUUCUUCUUUUUUCUGAGAACACUCGCGUCUAAUCAAUAUCUUUUCUACAGUUUUAUUCUCUUGUAAGGAUUAUCAGGUAGGCGUGAUUUACACACCGUUCUUUCUUCGUUGAUUCCAGUUGCGGGUUCGAUGGUUACGUGCAGAAUAUCAACUGUGAUGGUGCAUCUUGUGGGUGGAUGGAUUGAGUGGUGGGUGGCCAACAUAUAAAUGGAUUAUGUAGAUGGAUGCCUUGAUGGGGACAUGUCUUAUAAUGCUUUGGUUGCUGAGAUUGAUGUUUAUGGGCUUCCCUUUAUUGUUCUUCUUGCAUCAGAAUAUUGGAAUAAAUUCCUGUAUUUAUGGCCACCAUCAGUAUCUGAGAAUGUCUGAUUUCUUCCACUGCCCAUGCAUGGCACCUUAACCUCUUGCUACUAAAGCUCCCUUUCUCUACCUUUUUAACUA